CUUAAAAUACUCCCAACCGUUGGAUCAUCAUCAUUUAUUCAAUCUCUCUUUGAUACCCUAAAAGGCAUCCGCCGUCUCUGCACCUUCAGAAAACCUAAAUUUCUCUUUCAAUUUCCUUUUCUUCAGAUCUCAAAAUUUCAGCCAAAUUUUUUCCUCAAUGAUGCAUCUUUUCGUUAUUUCUCAAACAUCCGGAAAUAGAAGAAGAUGAGAUUGUUAAUCUUGAUGUUCUUGAUUCACAAGCACAAUGAUAUUUCCUCUCAAAACUCAAAUAUACUCUCAUCAUCUGCCACCACGGACAACGAUCAGUUGAAAUCUGUUUGGGAUGAAGAUAGGUUUGUGAUCGGGAUCCAGUUGAAGGACUCUUCAUCUCGCAAUCUGCAGUGGAAGAUAGUUGCUAAGGACAUUGCCAGAUCAGGGAGAGCAUGACUUACCCCAGAUACCAGAACCAGUGGCAUUUGCAAAGGUGGAGGAUACUGGGAACUUAGUUUUGUAUGGUUCUAAAUCACAAAUAAUUUGGCAAAGUGAUGAUCAUCCAUCGGAAUUCCAUCCCAGAGCUGAAGUUAUCUCGAGUUAUUUGGGGAAGCUGAAUAUUCAACCUCAAAUAUGGAGAAAUCUCCUUCGCUCUCCUCAUCAUCGUCCAAAGGAGAAAUCUGCAAGGCUCAUAACUCCCUGCCCAGCAGAUAUUGAGAAGUUGGGAAGUGAGACAGUGAUAUCUGUGCUUGCAGCAGGGUUACUGGAAUCCAAGAGAUUUCAGAAAUUAAUUAAUGGGAUUUGGGUGUGGGAAGGGAUAACUGUCACAGGGAUGGAACUUUUGACUUUUUUCAUCCAAAAUUUUAUAAGACACUAUGGUUGACAUGUGCGUAUCAUAUGGUUUAACAGCUCAGAAUUUUCUUUGCUAACAACCUUAUGUAAAGACGUGACAGUCAAGAGGCGCGUUAGAGCAAAUGAUGAUCAUUAGGUCUUGAACCUCUGCAGCAUUUUUUCAGCUCUCAGUGGGGCUACCUAUGAUCCUUACUCGUAAGACUAUUGACUUCUAUAACACUACUUAAGAAGCUGGCCCUGCAAGAAUUUGACUGAGAAAGGGAAUGCAACUUGAUGCUGUUACAUGUGGGAUGUAGAAAUGAAACUGCAGUAUAAAGUUUUCUGAUUCUUGGAUGUUGCAAACAACUUAACUCACAGGAAGAACACCUGUGAAAUAUUUCUACGCAGUGGCUUGUUAGACUAUUAUGCAGUGGCUUGCUUGACGUGAAUUUCCCCUGUUUUCAAGAAAUAUUUAUUGAAAAGAUUAUCUGUAAACUCCCA